CAUGGCGCAACCAGUUACAGUCCAUGUCCAGUUCUGUCUUUCAACACCAAAACCCCUCGGACGUACUUGGAAAUGAACUGAUGUUGUGUUACUGCGCCGCAGCUCUGUGUCAGAUA